CACCGCGGUUAUACGAGAGGCCCUAGUUGAUAGACCACGGCGUAAAGCGUGGUUAAGAAAUUGUUUACUAAAGCUGAACACCCCUAAAACUGUCAUACGCAAUCAGGGGCACGAAACCCCACAACGAAAGUGGCUUUAACAUAUACCUGACCCCACGACAACUAAGAAA
rnacentral:rRNA from 1 species